ensembl:lncRNA
GCUGGCGGCACCGUGGUGGGGGACCCCUGCCUGCUGCGGCCCCACGCCUACAGGGAGUGCGGAGGGCCCUUAGAGCGGCUCAGCCCUCGCCCAGCUUCUAGGGCUGCACACCCCCUAACCUGUGUCCCAAACUGGCGGAAACCUGCCAACCCGCGUCCCAGGUGCGGGCCAGGCGUUGGCACGGCUUAGCUCAUUACCUCGGAGACACAGGGGGCGGAAUUUGGGGCAGAGAAUCAACAGCAGAGCCUUCUUGAGAGCCCUCAAUGUGCCAUUUGAAAAAUAUAUUGGAAAGCCUUAUUUUGUCGUCUGGGAGUUUCUACGCCUCUUAGUUUGGAGUUGAACCUUGGAGUGUAGGGGUGAUUGGUCAUCUGGCCCCUUGGCUGCCCCUCCCCGUGCGGUCCGCUGCUAUGAGUGGGAGGGUCAAGGAGGUGAGGGUGCUGAUUCAGAACCCUCCUCUGUGGAGGCCGGGAGACCAGGGCCUGGGGUCCUUUUCCGCUUCUCCAUAAACGUGGGUGAGGAGCUUUCUAUUUCUAGUCUGCGCAAAGGGCCGAGUGUGCCAGACCCUGUCCUGAGUGCUUCACAGAAUGUGUUGACUCCUUGCACCACCCCGGAGCUGGUACUGUUGUCACCUCCCUGUUAAAGGUGGGAAAACCCAGGCUCUGGAGGGGAGGCCUCUGGUGCAAAGCCAUGGAACUAGGCACCACCCUGGCCGCUGGGCCCAAGGGGCUGUUCUCUUAAACACCAGGCAAUUAGUAAUCAAGAUGAUGCUUGAGCGUUUGUCAGACCCCCGGUGGACAUGCUCUCAUUUCAUUCUUCUGGCAACCCCGUGGGGCUUGGUCUCAUCCCUUACUCUCAGAUGAAUAAUCACCAGUAAAAUGGCUCAGCCAAGGCUGCUGGCCCCCCAGGGUUCUUCCCCCUGCUGGGCCCAAGGGUCAGUGGCAAAUUGAAGUCGCAGCCACAGUUCCCCUAAGAGAGUGUAUGGGGAAUUGAUGGGGGUGGUCCCUGCCUCCUCCAGGAGGCGCACUGUCUGCCCAGCCCAGUGGAGGUGUGUUAGGUGUCAGUGGCUGUUAUUCCACUUUCCUGAGAAAGAAUCAGGAGAAUGCGUACUCUUCGUGUUCUGAGACUUCAUGAUCGGUCAUCUGUGAUCAUGAUCGGUAACUAUGUUUUGGCCUUGCAGGCUGCUGGAUAGUAAGAAGUGGUUGGCCUGUGUUCCCUGGUCCCUGGGAGGGAACCUCACACCUUUGGAAUUUGUUAUUCCAUGGUGGGCCCCUUGGACCCUGCGUGAGCUUAAGAUAACGAGGUGACUCAUGGUGGUGGGCCCCUGGAUAGCUUCAGGAUGGGGGCUGGUCAUGCCGGAAAGACCACCCCUGUGAUUGGCGGUUUGGGCUUUGUGAGGAGGAGUGGGGGCUGGAGAUUGAGUUAAAUGAGGCGGCCAGUCAUCCACUCAUCAUGCCUACUUGAUGAAACCCCAGUAAAAACCCCGCACCCCCAAGGCUUGGGUGAGCCCCCUGGUUGGUGAUACACAUCAACCGGCCACAUCCUGAGGACAUGGGGAGUUUUGCAUCUGGGAUCUCGCAAACCUCCCUGCAGCUGGCCCUGGUUUGUAUCCUUUAUAAUAAAACUAUAGCCAUAAGUACA